UUGAAGGUCUAAUAUGCUGAGUAAGAGUUUGAAUCAUAUAUUUGUUUACAUGCAUUACAUGACAUUGUCUGUGUAUAUACUGUGCUAAAAUCAGUCUAUAUAAAAUCAAACGGAAGAUUUCUUACAUUUCAUAAUCUCAAACUUAACUUGAAUUUAUUUUUCCUUCUGGCUAAAACCUCCUAAUUUUCUGUUGCAGAUCACAUAUCAUACUCUUAGGACUUGUCCAAGAUGACCGACGAUUUGUGCUUAUUUUUCAGAAAUACACCUUUACACCUUUGGUUUUCAAAUCUGUUUAUCUGUUGGCUGUACCUGCUCAAAACCAAUUGAAGUUGCUUUUUCUGGUCUGUAAUAUUUCUAAAAGCCUUGAUCCAGCCCCCAAACACAGGUAGACCUGAUAAAUCACUCUCAAUUUUCAGCCCAGGCUUAUUUUAUUUGCAAAAUAAAAUGUGUGUCAUUUUGAAAUAUGCCUCUGAUUCCCUUAACCUCAGUUCUAGCCUUGCUGACUAACUAAACUCUUGCUGAUAACUGAAUUGACAAGAAACAGUUGAUUUGUAUCUUUUCUUGAUGCACUUAUCGUCACAACCCAAUAUAUGCAGUCCUGCUGUUUUAAUUAGAACUCCAGCCAUGAAACAUUAUAUAUAUAAAAAAAAAGAAUUACAGUGUCUUUCUAUCUAGCUUUCCAUACACAAUCUGGGUUUAAAAAGUAUAAUAAACUCUUUCUCUUAGCCUCACGGAAGGUUGUAAAUAUGUGCCAUUAACUUGAAUGAUAAAUAGCCAGAAGGAGUGAAAACUGUACUCCCUAAUUCCAGAUGAGUAGCUCAGGUCCUAAAAUCACUGUAGGCAAUUUGCUUCUUAGUUUUUGCAAAGGUUGUAAGAGGAUUGUUUGAUUCAGAUAGGAUUUAAAUGGCAAAAUACUUCUCUGAAACAUGAAUUUCCCUGACCCUUUUCAGGGCAAACUAUUCUCAUUCUUUGCUUUUCCUUUGUACACUGAGCCAUCAUUCUUGAAAGACCCAGCCAGGGUCUGAUCAGAGAAUGAAGCACAGGUCAGAGGAGAAGUCAUGCGAGGUGACACCGCACUUCCACUGGGAGCCCGUCACAGUAAUGCUGAUGAUAUUGCACUUCUAUCAGAGGGUUUCAGGACUUAUCUUCCAAAUCCUGAACAACAAGUUUAUUGCAGGAACGACUGAGCGAAACCUUUCUACUCACUCUAAAAACACCAGAAGAAUGAUGUCCAGGGUUCCUGCUCAUCUCUGUGAACAUGCCAUAGUCCUGCAGGAAGGCAUGAGGACUGCAGAUGUGGCCAGAGAAAUAAGCAGCAAUGUCUGUAAAGUAAGAUGCCUAAGACAGUGCUACAGGCAGACAGGAAGGACAGCUGAUCAUCCUUGCAGCCACAUGUCCACCUAGACAAGUUCAAUUUGCAAGUGUUUUGAUAAAAAUUGGAGUAACAUCUCACACAAGAACUGCCACAUCUGGUGCAGUCUGUAAGGACGAGAUGAGUGGACAGACAAGAUACUCACUGCUACUUUUGAAAUGGUCCACCACAUAUACCAUACAGUAUAUAUACUCUAAAGUAUAUAUACUUAAAGCCCUGAAAUGAGUAGUGCGCUCCGCUAAACACAUCUCCAGAACAUCUCUCCCCUCUCUGCAAGACAUCCACAUCAGGAGAUGUAAAUCUAGGGCUGUAAAGAUCCUU